GGACUCGCGCGUAGCCUCCUACUGGAUUGAUACCUUGGUUCUCAAAAACUGAGGGCAAUACUUACGCUACUUUGCUGCAUCACCCUUUCCUCUUCAAGGGAAAACCAACGCAGUGCUCAAGAGGUAGCAAGAAGGAUUUUUGGCGCUGUUGCGGGGAUGUGUACGCAAAAGUCAACAUACCAAGUACCCAUCACAAACCCUUAUCUCCCGCAUUACAUUAUUUGCCAUUUGCCUCUCGUUUUCCUCUCCCCCACUUCACCCUUGCCGUUUUAUACGCCCUUUUUCUGUUCGUCUUUUCGUUUGCCUUGAUGUCUUACUUGGCUCGUUUGCUCGUUUGGUUGAAAUAGUCGAGUAUUUAUUCCUAAACAAAGAAGCUAAUAUCUAUGGAUCCUCAUCCACUUGCCAAUCUUUUUAAGAGAUCCAAUUAUGAUGAACCAAUUCCUAGUGAUUUGGAUGCACUGGAUUAUCUUUAUAAGGUUUUGCUUGAAAUCCAUGAAUCUGAAAAUUGUGAUGAAGUGCUUUAUGAAGUGAUUCACGAUAGAUCUUUGAAUAAAAAGCAUGAUUUCAAUGAUUUUUUUAUAAAUUCUAUUGAUGUAAAUUAUGCUAAUAAUAUGCAAAACCCUAAGCUUGGGGAUGCUAGUUUUGCUAUGUCCACUACCUGUUGCAAUAAUCAUUAUUGGGGAGAUUCUUCUUAUGAUCUUGAAAAUUUAUUUAAGCCCCAUGAUGAAUAUAAGAUUGAUAAUAGUUUUUGCAAUAAUAUUGAAAGUGGGUUUGGAAGAGUGUCAACUUUAGAUCCCACAUAUUUGGAUAAUAUUCAAUCUUAUGAUUUUUUUUAUAAAAGUGGGCUUGGAGAAAUCAUGACUUUAGUUAAUGAUAAUCCCACUAUUUUGGAAGAGUGUCAACUUCGCAUGCAUGUGGAUGGUGUUGAGAAUAUGUUAUGUGAUAGCUAUAUUGUUGAAUUUUCUUAUGAUCCUACAUGUAAUUAUUAUGAGAGAGGAAAAUAUGGUUAUAGAAAUUUUCAUGUUACUAAAUUACCUCUCGUUAUGUUGAGAUUGCUAUUGUUCCUUUCCGCUUCCUUGCAUAUGCUAGUUUUUGCUUGCUACGAUAAUUUGUUUGCCUAUAAUAUGCCUAUGCAUAGGAAGUAUGUUAGACUUAAGUGUGUUUGUCAGAUGUUUUAUGAUGCUCUCUUUAUGCUUCAAUUCUUGUCUUUCACGUGAGCAUCAUUGAAAUCUUAAUGCCUAGCUAAAAAGGCUUUAAAAAAAGCGCUUGUUGGGAGACAACCCAAUAUUUUUCAUUGAUUCUUAGUAAUAAAUAUUUGUUCUAGCCUCUGGUUAGAUGUGUUUUUAUGUUUUAAUUAGUGUUUGUGCCAAGUUAAACCUAUAGGAUCUUCUUGGAUGAUAGUUAUUUGAUCUUGCUGUAAUUUCCAGAAACUUUCUGUUCACAAAAACAAUUGUUAAAAAUCACGAGAACGUGAUAAAAUAUUGAUUCCAAUUGAUGCUGAUCAAUAAACAAAUUGUCUAGGUCGUCCUAUUUUGGCUGAUUUUUUGGAGUUCCAGAAGUUUGCGUCAGUUACGGAUUACUACAGACUAUUCUGUUUUUGACAGAUUCUGUUUUUCGUGUGUUGUUUGCUUAUUUUGAUGAAUCUAUGGCUAGUAAAAUAGUUUAUAAACCAUAUAGAAGUUGGAAUACAGUAGGUUUAACACCAAUAUAAAUAAAUAAUGAGUUCAUUACAGUACCUUGGAGUGGUCUUUUGUUUUCUUUCGCUAACGGAGCUCACGAGAUUUUCUGUUGAGUUUUGUGUUGUGAAGUUUUCAAGUUUUGGGUGAAAGAUUAGAUGGAUUAUGGAACAAGGAGUGGCAAGAGCCUAAGCUUGGGGAUGCCCAUGGCACCCCCAAGAUAAUCUAAGGACACCAUAAAGCCAAAACUUGGGGAUGCCCCAGAAGGCAUCCCCUCUUUGGUCUACUUCCAUCGGUAACUUUACUUGGAGCUAUAUUUUUAUUCACCACACGAUAUGUGUUUUGCUUGGAGCGUCUUGUAUGAUUUGAGUCUUUGCUUUUUAGUUUACCACAAUCGUCCUUGCUGUACACACCUUUUGAGAGAGCUAUACAUGAUUUGGAAUUUGUUAGAAUACUCUAUGUGCUUCGCUUAUAUCUUUUGAGUUAUAUAGUUUUGCUCUAGUGCUUCACUUAUAUCUUUUAGAGCACGGUGGUGGAUUUGUUUUAUAGAAACUAUUGAUCUCUCAUGCUUCACUUAGAUUAUUUUGAGAGUCUUUAAUAGCAUGAUAAUUUGCUUAAAUAAUCCUAAUAUGCUUGGUAUUCAAGAUUAGUAAAAACUUUCUUAUGAGCGUGUUUAAUACUAAGAAAAGUUUGAUGCUUGAUAAUUGUUUUGAGAUAUAAAGAUGGUGAUAUUAGAGUCAUGCUAGUUGAGUAGUUGGGAAUUUGAGAGAUACUUGUGUUAAAGUUUGUGAUUCCCGUAGCAUGCACGUAUGGUGAACUGUUAUGUGAUGAAGUCGGAGCAUAAUUUAUUUAUUGAUUGUCUUCCUUAUGAGUGGCGGUCGGGGACGAGCGAUGGUCUUUUCCUACCAAUCUAUCCCCCUAGGAGCAUGCGCGUAAUACUUUGCUUUGAUAACUUGUAGAUUUUUUCAAUAAGUAUAUGAGUUCUUUAUGACUAAUGUUGAGUCCAUGGAUUAUACGCACUCUUCUUCCUUCCACCAUUGCUAGCCUCUCUAAUACCACGCACUUUUCGCCGGUAUCAUACACCCACCAUAAACCUUCCUCAAAACAGCCACCAUACCUACCUAUCAUGGCAUUUCCAUAGCCAUUUCGAGAUAUAUUGCCAUGCAACUUUCCACCGUUCCGUUUAUUAUGACACGCUCCUUCAUUGUCAUAUUGCUUUGCAUGAUCAUGUAGUUGACAUCGUAUUUGUGGCAAAGCCACCGUUCAUAAUUCUUUCAUACAUGUCACUCUUGAUUCAUUGCAUAUCCCGGUACACCGCCGGAGGCAUUCAUAUAGAGUCAUAUCUUGUUCUAAGUAUCGAGUUGUAAUUGUUGAGUUGUAAGAAAAUAAAAGUGUGAUGAUCUUCAUUUUUAGAGCAUUGUCCCGAGGAAAAGGAUGAUGGAGACUAUGAUUCCCCCACAAGUCGGGAUGAGAUUCCAGACGAAAAAAAGAGGCCAUAAAAGAGACCCAAAUAAAAAAAUGAGAGAAAAAGAGAGAAGGGACAAUGUUACUAUCCUUUUACCACACUUGUGCUUCAAAGUAGCACCAUGAUCUUCAUGAUAGAGAGUCUUUCAUUUUGUCACUUUCAUAUACUAGUGGGAAUUUUUCAUUAUAGAACAUGGCUUGUAUAUUCCCAAUGAUGGGCUUCCUCAAAAUGCCCUAGGUCUUCGUGAGCAAGCAAGUUGGAUGCACACCCACUUAGUUUCUUUUGUUGAGCUUUCAUAUACUUAUAGCUCUAGUGCAUCCGUUGCAUGGCAAUCCCUACUCACUCACAUUGAUAUCUAUUGAUGGGCAUCUCCAUAGCCCGUUGAUACGCCUAGUUGAUGUGAGACUAUCUUCCCCCUUUUUUGUCUUCCCCACAACCACCAUUCUAUUCCACAUAUAGUGCUAUGUCCAUGGCUCACGCUCAUGUAUUGCGUGAAGAUUGAAAAAGUUUGAAAAUAUCAAAAGUAUGAAACAAUUGCUUGGCUUGUCAUCGGGGUUGUGCAUGAUUUAAAUACUUUGUGUGGUGAAGAUAGAGCAUAGCCAGACUAUAUGAUUUUGUAGGGAUAACUUUCUUUGGCCAUGUUAUUUUGAGAAGACAUGAUUGCUUAGUUAGUAUGCUUGAAGUACUAUUAUUUUUUAUGUCAAUAUUAAACUUUUGUCUUGAAUCUUUCGGAUCUGAAUAUUCAUACCACAAUUAAGAAGAAUUACAUUGAAAUUAUGCCAAGUAGCAUUCCACAUCAAAAAUUCUGUUUUUAUCAUUUACCAACUCGAGGACGAGCAGGAAUUAAGCUUGGGGAUGCUUGAUACGUCUCCAACGUAUCUAUAAUUUUGUAUUGCUCCAUGCUAUAUUAUCUUCUGUUUUGGACAUUAUUGGGCUUUAUUAUUCACUUUUAUAUUAUUUUUGGGACUAACCUAUUAACCGGAGGCCCGGCCCUUAAUUGCUGUUUUCUGCCUAUUUCAGAGUUUCGCAGAAAAAGAAUAUCAAACGGAGUCCAAACGGAAUGAAACCUUCGGGAAUGUGAUUUUUAGAACGAACAUGAUCCAGGAGACUUGGACCCUAUGUCAAGGAAGCUUCCAGGAAGCCACUAGGUAGGGGGCGCGCCUACCCCCCCCCCAGGCGUGCCCUCUACCCUCGUGGGCCCCAUGUUGCUCCACCGACGUACUCCUUCCUCCUAUAUAUACCUACGUACCCCCAAACGAUCAGAUACGGAGCCAAAAACCUAAUUCCAUCGCCGCAACCUUUUGUACCCACGAGAUCCCAUCUUGGGGCCUGUUCCGGAGCUCUGCCGGAGGGGCCAUCGAUCAUGGAGGGCUUCUACAUCAUUACCAUAGCCCCUCCGAUGAAGUGUGAGUAGUUUACCUCAGACCUUCGGGUCCAUAGUUAUUAGCUAGAUGGCUUCUUCUCUCUUUUUGGAUCUCAAUACAAUGUUCUCCCCUUCUCUCGUGGAGAUCUAUUCGAUGUAAUCUUCUUUUUGCGGUGUGUUUGUUGAAACCGAUGAAUUGUGGGUUUAUGAUCAAGUUUAUCUAUGAACAAUAUUUGAAUCUUCUCUGAAUUCUUUUAUGUAUGAUUGGUUAUCUGUUCAAGUCUCUUCGAAUUAUCUGUUUGGUUUGGCCUACUAGAUUGAUCUUUCUUGCAAUGGGAGAAGUGCUUAGCUUUGGGUUCAAUCUUGCGGUGUCCUUUCCCAGUGACAGUAGGGGCAGCAAGGCACGUAUUGUAUUGUUGUCAUCGAGGAUAACAAGAUGGGGUUUUUUUAUCAUAUUGCAUGAAUUUAUCCCUCUACAUCAUGUCAUCUUGCUUAUGGCGUUACUCUGUUUUUAUGAACUUAAUACUCUAGAUGCAUGCUGGAUAGCGGUCGAUGAGUGGAGUAAUAGUAGUAGAUGCAGGCAGGAGUCGGUCUACUUGUCUCGGACGUGAUGCCUAUAUACAUGAUCAUACCUAGAUAUUCUCAUAACUAUGCUCAAUUCUGUCAAUUGCUCAACGGUAAUUUGUUCACCCACCGUAGAAUACUUAUGCUCAUGAGAGAAGCCACUAGUGAAACCUAUGGCCCCUGGGUCUAUCUUCAUCAUAUUAAUCUUCCAACACUUAGUUAUUUCCUUUCCUUUUUACUUUGUUUUUUUUACUUUGCAUCUUUGUCACAAAAAUACCAAAAAUAUUAUCUUAUCAUAUCAAUCAGAUCUCACUCUCGCAAGUGGCCGUGAAGGGAUUGACAACCCCUUGUCGCGUUGGUUGCGAGGAUUUUUUUGUUUUGUGUAGGUGCAAGGGACUCGCGCGUAGCCUCCUACUGGAUUAAUACCUUGGUUCUUAAAAACUGAGGGAAAUACUUACGCUACUUUGCUGCAUCACCUUUCCUCUUCAAGGAAAAACCAACGCAGUGCUCAAGAGGUAGCACAUAGCAGGUAAGGAGUUAGAUUCACUCAAGUAUUGGUGACUAAUAGACCUAUUAUUUUAUUUUAGAGAAAGCAUGCGUGGAAAUAUCAUUCACUGAUAUAAAUAACGCGGCACCGCUCAUGAUUUGCCUCUGGUGUUUGCCAUACAACAACAGCAGUAGUACAAAGAUGUUUGACUGUACAUGUGAAUAAAGAUAUGACAAUAGCAGGUAUAGAUAAUUUGAGG
rnacentral:lncRNA from 1 species